UGUUCAACUAUACUUUCUCCAGAAUGAAC
rnacentral:piRNA from 1 species